rnacentral:rRNA from 1 species
GACGAACGCUGGCGGCGUGCUUAACACAUGCAAGUCGAGCGAUGAAGUUCCUUCGGGAAUGGAUUAGCGGCGGACGGGUGAGUAGCACGUGGGUAACCUGCCUCAUAGAGGGGAAUAGCCUUUCGAAAGGAAGAUUAAUACCGCAUAAGAUUGUAGUAUCGCAUGAUACAGCAAUUAAAGGAGUAAUCCGCUAUGAGAUGGACCCGCGUCGCAUUAGCUAGUUGGUGAGGUGACGGCUCACCAAGGCGACGAUGCGUAGCCGACCUGAGAGGGUGAUCGGCCACAUUGGGACUGAGACACGGCCCAGACUCCUACGGGAGGCAGCAGUGGGGAAUAUUGCACAAUGGGGGAAACCCUGAUGCAGCAACGCCGCGUGAGUGAUGACGGUCUUCGGAUUGUAAAGCUCUGUCUUCAGGGACGAUAAUGACGGUACCUGAGGAGGAAGCCACGGCUAACUACGUGCCAGCAGCCGCCGUAA